rnacentral:lncRNA from 1 species
CUACUUUCUCCGAAGCGAGGAAGUGUUAUUUUGGAGGUCUUAGCGCCCCCGUCCCCUCAGGCAACAUGGCACAAGGGCAGGGAUGGUCUUCAGAGUCAGAAAGACCUCGGUUUUUUGGCUCAGUUCAUUAUUAACCAUGUGACUUUGGGCAAGUGGCUCAGCCUGUCUAAGCUUCAGUUUCCAUUGAUGCUUCAGAGCCGAGAAGAGCUUAGUUAAUGGACAAUGAUAAGGUCCCCGGUGUACAGUGGGCCCGUGGGAACUGAUGGCUGUUGAUAACCAAACAAGCAGUAAUACUGCUGAUCUGCACCUCUCCUCACAGCCUUCGGUCUACUGGUUGGCUCGGAACCUCAGUUUUCCCGUCUAUUCAAUGAGGGUAACAGCAAGUAUUAUCAAUGUGGUAAUACACAAUGGGUGUAAAAGCAAUGUGAUAAACAAACAUGCAUUGCCCACAUCAGGCUCUUGAAGCCUGGGUAUAUCUUGGCCUCCUUGCCCUCCAGGGGGUCCCUACCCCUUGUAGCUGGCACAGCCGUCGCUAGGCCCUUUCUCUCCAUCCAGAGAUGCUCCUGGAAGGGGUCCCAAGUGCUUUCUAGGCAAAGAGACUCUUGAGAUGAGGUUCUCCCUUUUUGGUUGCCCAGGAUCAAAGAGUCAUUUUUCGGUCUCUUGUUUCUCCCUUGGUCUCUCUCUCUCUUGCCUGUUAAGAUUGAAUUGUGUCCCUCACUCUCUCUCCGAAAAAGAUCUGUUGUCGUCCUAGUACCCAGUCCCUGUGGAUGUGACCUCUUUGGAAAUAGGGUCUCUGCAGACUUCAUCAAGUUAAGGCAGGGUCAUCAGGAUGGGCUCUAAUCUGACACAACUGUUGCCCUGAUAAGAAGAGAGGUCGUGUGAAGAUAGACACACGGGGAGGGCACAGUGUGAAGAUGGAGGGAGAUUGGGGCUUGUCCCCACAGGCCAAGGAACAUCGGGGCUGCCAGAAGCUUCAGGAGGCAAGGAAGCAUCCCCCACCAGAGGCUUCAGAGAACUCCAAGCCUUCCCAGCUCUCCAGACUGACUCCAGACUUCUGCUCUCCAGACCCAUGAGAGAAUAAAUUCUUUGUUGUCAUUUCCAGCCACCCAGUUUGUGGUACUUUGCUACAUAGCCCUAGGAAACGAACACCCUGGCCCCAUUACUUGUUUGAGUCUACAGGACUGAGAGGUUUAUUUAUGUGUGAAAUAAACAUCUGUGAAGCCCACCUUUAGUAAUAACUCAUCGUUUAUCCAAAUUAGGGAUCUACUAUGUGAUUAUGUACAACACAAAAUGGAUUGAGAAGAGUAGGGUUAGGCUGAUCAAGAAGGGGAAAAAAGCUGCUAAAGAGGACCCAAAGCACUACCUUACUGGUGGAUAAGAGAAAGUGACUUUCCAUAAAAGUUGAAAGGGUCUUACGUGAGUAUCAGGGCAGGAAGAGGAAUAGGGGGUUAUAGUUCAGGGGUCUCGGGGGAGCUGGCAUUUUCAUGCUGAUUUAAUCUAAGAUUUCCGCUUAUGAAGGGUGAGGUUUACAGACUAAAAAUUAGCCACAAGGUACAACUUUCCUCCUGGCUUUUUAACAGAAGACUAUAAGAAUAAAGCAAGCAGCUGUGUCAGAACUUGCUGGGCAGCAGAAUAUGCAUAGUUUGAACAAAGCCUAGCUGGCCUGCGUAUGAAUUACAGGAAGAAAAGGAGCUUGAAGGCUAUUUAUUCCUUUUCUAUGGGACAUACUGAAGAAAAGACAGAGUCAUAUAUCACAGACCCAGCUGGAAAUCGUGGGGCCAGAUGGGGCUGCAAGGGUGUGAGUCACCAGCUCCCAACUUUCAGGAGCUUUCCACAUUUGGGAGUCUAGCAGAGGCUUGUUGUGAUUCUAAUGGAGCCCCCUGGGUUCUGGAGCUGCUGCGAGCUGCAGCCAAAUGGGUAUAAGUCUUAAAAAUUAGAACUGACGAGAAUGGCUUUUGGACUCAUACAGCCUGGUGUUUCAGGGCCAAACAGUACUUAGAGCUCAGCUGGGUGGGGGUGGAGGAGGAAACAGGGGUUUCUUACUGAAGGCCUGAUCAGAUCUGAUGGGAGCUGGCUCAUGGCCACGGCUGACCAAUCAGAACUUUCCAUUCUCCUGGCCAUAGCAGUGGCUCAGAAAUGGGCUCAGGACCCAUGUCAGCCCAAAGAGAGUCAUUCUAGGGACCUCUACGGGAGCUAUGGGGAAUGAGAUGCAGUCUGCUGGGUUGUUGGGUGUGCAUCCAGAGCUGCUGUGAGCAUCUUGCUAUGGCUAUGGAUGAGCUGGCUUGAGUGAGUUCAGGGAUGGAAGGGAGACUCAGUCCUGAUGAGACUAAGCCCCUGAAUCUAGCUGUGCCCAAAGCUCUUCUGUGUUGCACAAGCCAAUACGCUCCAUCCUUUUGUUUGCUUAAGCCAUUAGCAGUUAGGUUUCUUUUACCGGCAACCUAGAGAGGUCUGACUAAUACACAGACCUCAGCAAGACACAAUAGGACCACAGCAAAUACCACAAAAAUAUAUAAGAGCCAGAGAGAAGAUCCAGUCCAGUCUGUGUACACACGGCCCACUGUACAGGAGGGCCAACAGAGAAGGUAUAAACACAGGGAUGGUUACAAGAGUGUUUUAGAGCAUUGUAAAACAUGGAAUGACAAUAGUAUUUCCUUAACUCCUUCUGGAAUUAGGGCGAAAAGAUAAAGCUUUUAAAAACAAGGUAAUCUGAAUACGGCAUCACCAUCAUCUUCCCAUUCCAGAGACAAGAAGGGUGGGUUCUGUUUAGGCUCACCCUAGGGCUACUAACUCCUCUGCCUUUGUCCAGCGGGACCAUCCCUACUGUAAAACUGGAAGUCCUGUUGUCCCAGGACCUCCUAGUCCCAGGCAGACCUGGACGGUUAGUCAUGUCACAUUUUGGGGAGCUCCAGGUUUGUAUAAAAAAAAUCACAGUAGGAGUUCCCGUUGCGGUGUAGUAGAAACAAAUCCAACUAGUAUCCAUGAGGAUGUAGGAUUGAUCCCUGGCCUCAAUCAGUGGGUUAAGGAUCUGGCAUUGCUGUGAACUGUGGUGUAGGUCACAGAUGCCGCUCAGAUCCCAUAUUGCUGUGGCUGUGGUGUAGGCCAGCAGGUGUAACUCCGAUUAGACCCCUAGCCUGGAAACAUAUAUGCCGAGGGAGCGGCCCUAAAAAGACCAAAAAAAAGAAAAGAAAAGAAAAGAAAGAAAGAAAGUCACAGUAGGAUUUCCCACUGUGGUGCAAUAGGAUCGGUGGCAUCUUGGGAGUGCUGGGAUGCUGGUUGGAUCCCCGGCCUGCCAUAGUGGGUUAAAGCUCGGGUUGCUCCAGCUGAGGCUUGGGAUGUAACUGCGGCUCAGAUCUGAUCCCUGAUCCAGAAACUCCAUAUGCUGUGAGGUGGCCAAACAAGAAAAAAAAAAAAAGUUUUUUUUUUUUUUUUCUCAAAGUCACAGUAGCCCCUGCAGAAGGGGAAGGAGUGCCAAGAUAUCUCUUUUGCGUCUGUCACUUGAGUUUCUCUUCUGUAUGCUUUAGAAGAUGGAGAGUCAUUGGGGAUAGAGAAGCCUGCUCUCUGAGGGGUCUCCUUCUAGAAUCCCAUGAUUUAUUUUUCUUUGUUUCAGGACAAAUUGGCUCUUACGGAUCAGUGAUUUCCGCACCUGGCUGAUCGUAAGAGUCACCCAGGGAAGUGGAAACUAUGUAGAUUCCUGGCUACCAACACCUGCAGGUCCAACUCAGACAGAAUCGGGUGGAGCCAGAGCUCUGCAUUUCAAAAGAUCUUGGCAGGUGACACGCGUAUCAAUUAUUCACAAACGUCAGCAUGUUAACGAUCAUGAAUAAUAAAUCACGUUCCGCACACCUCACUAAUGGCUAAGACACACCGUUGUGUGAGACACCACUUUCCCGUCCAUCUUAAAUGUUCCAUGCUCCCUCCGGCAGAGCUACCGAACACACGGCUCGCUGCACCCCACCUUCAGGGUUUCCGCGUCUGUGGGCUGGGGCCACAGGAAAUUUGCAUGCCCAAGACACUCCCAGGAGGCCUCCAGCUACUUUAGCAGCAUCCUUGCAGCCUGUAAGCUCAGCUGAAGGUCUUGUCUGCUCUCUUUACUCUUUGUCAUCAUUGUAACUCUCUCAUCUCCCCCAGGACAGUCCUCUUGUAAAUGAGUGAAAAAUGACUACGUGGAUAAAGGUUGUAGGAACCUCAUCCAUAGUGACCUUCCCACCAACUUUCUAAAGCAGGCUGUGCCCCGCCCCCCUUUGCAUGUCAGAAAGGUUUCUGCUGGUUAUCUAAGGAGUGCUGAGUGUAUCAUGGGACCUCAGCCGAGGACAUGGGUGGGAACAACAGGAUUUCCUGCUCUCAGCUUCGGGGGCUUUGUGCUGAGUACAAUAAAGUGCCGGCUGCAUCGGGGCCUCCAGCUACGCCCGCUGGACUCUCUCAAAGACUCCGUUUUGCUUGUUUGUCACUUUCUAAGGCUGGCAGAUUUAUGUUUCACCCAUAAGUCCUUUCUGUCUCUCUUUAGCUUGUCAUCAUGUUUAAGUUUUUAAAUUGACUUGCUGGGAUGUUACCCAAGCAUAUUCUGGUUGCAGUAGCUGUUUAGUCCUGUGGGUAAACUUGUUUUUAUCCCCCCGGAAGCCUGAGAAUGACUGUCCCAGCCUCUGCUCAAGCUGUGCGGGCUCGCCGAUCAGCCCGUUUGUCCUCUGUUGGUGCCAGCACGGCUGCGGCACCUCGGCACUGUCUCGCCACACAUCUUCAUUCGUACAAGAAAUGCUCCUAGACGACAGAGACGUAUGCACAGUCACCACCCAGACUUCAACCUAGACACGCCCCAAACAAAGUUAGAAAGGAAGAGAAAGCCACUGACCAUCAUUAGCCACUAGUUAACUAGGGGAGCUUGCUACAUUCUGCAUUAGCCACUAGUUAAUUAGGGGAGCAUCCUACAUUCUGCAGGACCGUUCAAAGGGUAUUGAAGAGGCUUUGCAACUUUUUAUGUAAGGGCUUGAAAUAAGAAACAGCACCCAGAAAAAUACUAAUGAUAAUAACAACAGAAUGUAAAGAUGUCCUCUAUUUUAGACUCUUGGUACUGUAACGAGAUUGCAAAUGAUCGCUUCAUUGGGGUACAGUCUUGUUACCCCUGAGAAAAAAAAGAUGAGGGUCCAAGGGGGCAGGAAACAGAGGGCCUCCCCAAGUCUCCUCCCUGGAAAGAGGGUUUGGUUCUGAGCAGAACCUUUACUUAGGGAGCAAUAAUCCCCUCCAGGUCAGGUCUCUAAAGCAGCCUAGCUGAAUGGCCAAGUUUGUGGCAAUGAGCAAAAGCCUGUUGCCCAGACAGUUGAUGUGGGUCCCGGACCAGAGCUGACUAGUCAACAACUAAAGGAGCAGUCACUCUGCUAUUUCACACUGUCGACAACACGACAAGGACAAUGCCUCUGCUCUGAUGCCGCCCAUGACAGAACUGUUCUCUGGCGCAAACUGGUGUGGGUGGCUUGGCCAUAUCUGCCAGAAGGUUUCAGAACCUUUUAGGUGUUGUGUUCAUGAUAUCUGUGUUUCAGAAAACAUGUCUGAACCUGGCUGACAGGAAUAUAUUCUGCUACAUAAUAAAUAAAAACGAGGAUUUAAAGUUUUGACUUUGCAUUUGGAGAGUUGUCACUCUAGGAGGAAAACAGGUAUUUGUCGUGUGUGUGUGUGUGUGUGUGUGUGUGUGUGUGUAAAAUCUAAGUGUGACCCUGGUACAUGGGUAGGGAGGAAAAUUUCAUCUGAACAAUGGCGGAGGCACGAUACUCAAGGACCACUAGGGAGAAAAAAGGAGUCUGAAUGAAUCGCGUUAUGCUGACACUCCUCCAUUUUCAUCUCUCGUUUUCUCUCCCCACUUUGUGUGUUCUGCCUCCUGCUUCUCCUCUGCAUGUCUCUCAGUAGCACCCUUGGGCCCAGCUACCAGCAGCGAAUGCUUUGACCUCUAUGUUCCAUGAGCUUUGAUUCUGACUUCUUUUCUAGAUUCUAUUAUUUAUUCCUCAAAUUAUGAUAUGAAACUACCCCAGUCACAUUAUCCUUUCCCUCUAGGUCCCUUCUCAGCCUGCUUUUCUCACCGGAGGAAAAGAUUUGCAUAGGUGUAGAAAGCUGGCACCAGGGCGACUCUGGCCGUCUAGGAAAUACCCACUACAUAUGGAGGGUAUGUCAGAAACCACCAAGCCCACAGGUGAAGCUUGGGAACGGCAGUAUGUUAGGAACUGAAUGUAACAGGAGUGGAUCUUUACUGACAAUGUACCGUGUGUAACUUCUAUACGCGAUACUACAGGGGACAGAAAUGACUAAGAAAUCCACGAACAGCUUCGUUUAUUGGAAGAGGCAGAUGUAUAUGGUGAACUGUGCUCACGUUGAAAUAAACUACUGCUCUAAGACUGUUUCAUCAUACUAUAUGACCGUUAUUGCAAUCACCACGGAUCUUGCCUGUUUUUUAAAAUUUAAAUUUCUUUCCUUGCAAAGUUUCUCUUAUAGAAUCAAACUAUUGAGGCAAAAUGCAAAGGACUCUGUUAUCCCGGUUCCAUUUCUAAAUCUUUUUUUUUUUUUAAUUAUUUUUUAGUCUUUUGUCUUUUUAGGGCCGCGCCCACAGCAUGUGGAGGUUCCCAGGCGAGGAGUCGAAUCAGAGCUGUAGCCACCGGCCUGCACCA